rnacentral:rRNA from 1 species
AUGCAAUACAUCCAAGACCUCAGCAGCAAGGUCUGUUUUGCCUCAGUGGCACACCCAUGGAGCAACGGCCAAGCGGAGAGGGCAAAUGCUGAAGUGUUGCGAGGCCUGAGGACAAAGACUUUUGACAAGCUGCACAAGAGCGGAAGGCGCUGGAUUGAUGAGUUGCCGGCGGUUCUUUGGUCGAUCAGGACGACGCCAAAUCGAGCCACCGGCCAGACACCCUUUGCCAUGGUAUACGGGGCAGAAGCAGUACUCCCCACGGAACUCACAUACGGGUCACCUCGAGUGCUCGCUUACGAGGAGCUUGAGCAAGAGCAAUUGCGGCAAGAUGACGCAACGCUCCUUGAGGAAGAUCGUCUUCGGGCGGCUGUGAGAGCAGCACGCUACCAGCAAGCCUUGCGCCGCUACCAUAGCCGCAAGGUUCAUGCCCGAAGCUUUGAUGAAGGUGACCUUGUUCUUCAGCGCGUUCAGUUGUGGGGACCCCGACUCAUAAGUCGUGAUCACCGAAUGCACGUGUACAGUGAUCCCAGAGAUAAAUGCUCACUGAACACACAGAAGCUGAAUAACAAGAGUCUUACAUCCAUACAUAUCGUCUUACACAAAUUAUGA